CCGAAGCCGUCAAUAGCAUGACGCCAUUUUAAAGUUGCGCUGCAUCACGCACGAGUAUACAUUGUCGUUGAGUGGUUCUGAAAUCGCUGCGCUAGGGACGACUGCAACCAAGCGUUGCGACAAGUUACGGUGGGAGCUUCUGUCCGUGCUGUGUGAUUGCGACGAGGGGACCGCCGCCAGCAGCAGCGUUUCGCCGAUUUCGUCUUUGCCGACAUCGAGCAAGUGCGCUCGCCGGAAGCGUCCGAAGUGCUGCGGUUUGCACUGCAUCUUUCAUUGUGAUAUGGGAGAUCGCAACGGACAGAGACGACCAGAUGCAUACGAACCACUACCAGCGGGGACCUGUGACCUGUGCCAUAUUUCUCUUAACGUCUCAGGUAUUCAAGAAAUGCCAACAUCCAGAAGAAGACGCCAUCUUAUCCAGCACGUUAUUGGUACACUCUGGUGGCUCCCGCCCCUGCAUCCUACCACCACUGUGUCCUGACUACGUCCACUAGGGAGUUUGAAGCCUUUGGCGGCUCCUGCCGCUGCGUCCUGCCACCACCAUGUCCUGACUACGUCCACUAGGGAGUUGGCAGCCUUCGUGAUGAUGCCAAGCAGGCUGGAAGCCAACAGAAAGAUUAAUGUUGCCUCGAAAUUUUACCAAAGCCGUACCACACACGGGCCAGGCCUCUUGCAAACGGCGUAUAACCAGGCUCAACACAUGAGUGUCGAGUGAGUCCGGAGAUCAAGGCAACCUGCUGUGCGACCAGCGUGCAACCUUUGGUGACCUCUCUACAUGUUCCGCCUAUUUCACAGCUGCACCUCAGCUGCAACUUAUCCAAACAGCAUCACCAACUGUGGUCACUCAUCAAACCAUGGAUGAAUGUUAGGGUGGAGUGAUUUGAAGAGACAUUCUAUUUGUCUCUUCAAAUUCUUAGCAAAUACUUGUGUUAUUAUAAUUAAUAUGUGUCUUUAGUGCCUAGUUUUUAAUGGUUCCUUUCUAUUAGAAUUCUCACCAUCGAUUCCUGCUAUUACUAUAAUGUAUGUCUUUAUGCCCAGUUUUUCGUAGUUCUUUUGUACUUGUGUAUGUAAUUGAUAGAUUCAUACUUGUUAUACAGAAGGCUAAAAUGCAAACUUACAGCAUUUUUUUCUUUCUUUUGAUUAUCUACAGCACUGCAAAGUGUUCAAGAAAUGUAACCUAACGUGAGCUCUUGUGCAGGAAAAAUUUAAGAGCAAUAUAGAGUACUUAUUUCAAACACCCAUUAUUCUUGGAAAAGUCAAGAAUAUAGGAGCACAAAAAAGAAAAUAUUAAACUAGAGAAACAUAAGUUCCCCUCAUAAGUCUGAUAAUAAUGUGACUUCCUUUCACUGCAAAGAUACCAGUAAUAUACUCGCACACAAGGUUUCAAACAAGAAAGCUAUGAUGCCCUUUGCAUUUCUCGGUGCCCAUUUGUCACACUGACGAAUGUCAAAGGCAUCGUAGGUUAUAUGCACACAUUGGUUGUGUUACACUUUUGAGUAUUUCAUUUCUCAAACACAAAGGUUUACAGCAGUGCUUUAAAUAGCAAGUGCAUUUCCUAAUUUAUUAGUGCAAGAGUAACAGUACAGAUCAUGUAAAAAUUAUUUUACAGUCCAUGGAUGCACGCUUCUGAUGACAUAGCAGUGACGUGGUCGUGGGAUGAAUGUCUUUAUUUCAGAUUUAAAUAUUGGCUUCCAGGUCUGGGUUAGUCUCCUACUCUGAGUAGUCUAGGUCAAAGUCCAUUUACUAGAGAAAGUGAAUUAAACUAGAAAUUAUAAACAUCAAAAGAUCUUGUUUAGGACACUAAUGAGACAAUCAGCAAGGUUCUUUGGUUAUUCAUUUCCAAAUUUGUGAGGAUAUAUGUUAUGACUGGUUUCAAUAUUGUGAGUACAAAUAUUUGUUUAUUGUCACACUAGAGUGGGCUGCCCCAUUUGUAUACAACCCCUUUACAGGCUAAAAAUUCCGUGUGUUACCCUAUUUACUCGCAUAAUGAUCACACUUUUUUGCAAAAAAAAUUGACUCAAAUUCAGGGGUGCGGUCAUUACACUGGUUAAUUUUCCCGCAAAAAGAAAAAAAUAUAUUAUCUGGCAUUUACUACGGGAUGACAACAGGUCAACAAAUAGGCGGCUGCUGCUGUAUGUAGUGCAGGACACGAAAAAAAAUGGUGGCCGGCAGAGCAAGCCGAACGCGCCGAAUGCAUUUUUCUUCUCGUGAGUACAUUACAGUGCAUUCAAACAGUUUCUUCCAUAUUAGUAAUGAAUAAUAUUUGCAAGUUUGCGGCAAUAACAUAGCCAUGCCCACUUUGAGGGGACAGAAACAGAUGGGCGCACUUAGCUGCCAGUGACAUAGGAACACAUGCUGCGGAAACUGCGGCAUUUGUCUUCACCACUAUCCUAACGUGGCACGUUUCCGCUAAGGGUGGGUGAAUAUCUUAGCUGCGUUACAAACGUCGGCGAAUGAAUAGGGUACACUUCUAACCUAUCAGUGUAAACGUGGCUGCUAUCAUUGCCGCUCGCGAUUUGUUGCGUGCCCACAAGUGCAGAUGAGAAGAAUCGAAAGACGCCUUUUUUUGUUGUUUUUAUUGACCACAACCAUUAUAAAGCCUACACAUAAUAAAGGAAAGUUUGGUUGUAGCUUUUUUUUGUCGUAGAAGUGCGGAAAGUGAUGAAAGCAAUGAAAUGGGGCAUCUGCUUAAGAAAGUUUUUUGCGUGCAGACUGCUUGGUUUGUCUUGAAGAGUCGUUCGCAUAGCAGUCGACAGAUGGUAAGCGCGAUCAUUAUUAGCUAGAUUUGGCACGUGACACAUCGCUGCGGCAAGUUCGGGGUGAAAUCAUUACGUGGGAAAUAAAAAAAAUCGAAUUAAAACGACAAAAUUUAGGGGUGCGAUCAUUACGCGAGUGCAAUCAUUAUGCGAGUAAAUACGGUAAUAGGCUGUUUUUGGUUUUGUGCACUCUAUGUUAAGGGAUGCAAAUGGUGACAUACAACAGAAUGCAAAAAUGACUAAUGAAUUCAAGCAGGGCAUGGGGCUUUUUAGGCAGAUGCGUGCGUGUGCUAUUUAUAAAGCUCCCCAUGGUAUGCCUGAAGGCAUUUUCUAACACUUUGGUAGAAUACACUGACACCCACUUAUUAACUCCUCGAAACAACUUUUUUAUAUAUUUGUACUAGAGAUUUGAAUAUACUGUCAUUCAUAAAGUGUUUUAUUAGAUUUGAAUUGUCAUUUAUUUUUGUGUAGCUGCUGUUUUUUAGUUAUGUCCUACACAGUGGCAAAAUAUUUUGGGGGGCACUUUCCUGUGUAUAAAGUUUUCAGAAAUAGCUUCAUGCUGUAUCUUAUUUAGCUAUUCGUAUACUGCAAAGUGGUGAUACCUAUCCAAACGGCUUGUACAAUUACUGGAACUAUGCAAGAAUAUAUUAGGCCACAUUAAAUAAUUUUACAGAUUGCAAUUUCAAUUAGAUAUGAGCAUUCUGCAUAUCUUGAAGAGUACGUAUGCCAAAUUUCGUUAGUAUAGGACAACUAUAAGUGCAUAAGAAGUAUGCAAGAUUAGUAGGCAGGCCUCUCUGCCUGCCUACUAAUCUUGCAUACUUCUAGUAACUUUACAUGCUGUUUGAAUAGAUAUCGGUACUUUGUAGUCUACGAAGAGCUGAGGUAGCUACAGCACACUGCUUUUUGUGAAAAUUUAGUACACAAGAAAGUGCCCGCAAAGAUCAGUGUAUUUUCCCAUUGUGUGGGACAUAACUCAAGAAGCAGCUAAAGAAAUACUAAUGACAUAUAUGAAAUCUGCAUGAAGAACUCUACAAUUUGCUCUCUUUCAAAGCCUCUAGUACGAAUAAUAAGACUGUUUCGAGUAAUAUUCAAUCAGCAAAACAUGCCCCUUGCUAUAGUGACCUACAACAUAGAAACGCAGAUUGAAUGCAAGUCUUUUUGUUAAAGCGACUCUGGGCUGUCUUCCCAAGGGCUUCUGUUAAACACUGAAAUUUCCUGCAUUUACCAGAAGUGCAAUACUAAAAUGUUUGUGGAUGUGCAAUUGGUAUUGGCAAACUAACAGAAAAAAAGACAGUUCUGUGAAAUGAGGAAUUGACUAUAACUUUGUUCGACAUUUACAUUUUGACUCCAUAUCUUUGUUUUGUGCUUUGUACUGAGUGUUUCAGCAGUGACUGCCGCUAAAAAUUGAACAUAUCUGCUUCAUGACAAUGCGACAAUUUUCGCUAACAGAAAUUUAUAGCAGUGGCAGGCAUUAUAAUUACAGUACUCAAUAACGUCUAGUUUGUAAGAACUCAGACUAGCACCAGUUCCGAGAUACACAACCCAAAAAGACAUGAUCAGAUAGGUUUAUCUUCCACACAGAAUUGUCCCAUAAGGCUUACAAAAUGUUUUGUGGCUAAGUAAUAUCUGCAACAGCAAAGCAUGUUCCACCAAGUAUGGCGAUAAAUAUUUCAGAGCUGUCAGUCUGAGGACUCCUACAAACUAACAAUACCUUCAGCACUGACUAGCCUCAAUAAUAGGAUGUCAGCCAUUUUGCUGAAAUUAAUAAAACUUCAAUUAUUGUGAUAUUGUUUACGAAAAAAUUUGCAAUUGUAAUGCAGUUCUAGUAUCUGUCACUUGUAAAUAUUUUCCAAUUAGUUUUUCAGACUACAAUUUUUGGUAAUAGAGGUAUUCAUUGCAGAAAGAUCUAGUACAUGGCACUUAAUAAUAAAGGUACUGGUCAUUGUAGACUUUCUGUUGCACAGCUGUUUCUUGAAAUCUGAAAGGAUGUACCCGCCUCCUUAUGUUAGCUAGAAACGGAAAUCUGUCAGUAUGUUUUGUUUAAAAUACAGCUGAUCAACCCGAUAGUUAGGCUGCUUGCCAAAUAUAAAUCAUAACAAUAAUAGUGAAGGACCAUAAUAACAAAGUGAUGCUGACUCAUAACUAUGCCCAGCUACAUCCACGCAGCUGUGCCAUACAAUGUGCAUGUGUUCAGAAGAGCCAAAUGCCCCAGAGAGAAAGCAACAGUAACUCAUUGUUUGUCAUCUUGUUCAAGCAGAUUAUGCGCUAGCUGUAAUUUAUGCUCAGUAAAUACAUAAAUCAGUCAUGUCAGGUGUCUUACUUUGGGUUGCAAGUUCGAAGUUCUUGUAAUCUUGCUUGUUUUUAUUUUGUUUCCUUUGUGAGCAUGAGUGACUUGGUUGCCUUCGCACAUAUUCUCAAAACUGUUUCAUCACUGGGAAUCAGGAAAUUUAAUUUACAUAUGAAAUUCCCAGUUCCCAGUUACUAAUUUGGUAGGCUUUGAGCUUAAUUCUCUUAACUUUUAUAUGUUUAGCUACCAAGUAGUCUUAUCGUGCAUUGAAACAUAUCCAUGCAAUGCAGAGAGGGCACCCAAAUUAUAAAUAUCUGUUCUUGCUUUCUACCCUGCUCUGGUGUUUUCAAAACCUAGCAUUGGUGCAAUGGCCUGUCUGCAGAAAAGUAGUAAAGUGGCUAAAUUUAAAGGUCAACAACAUAAUUAAGAUACAAAGCAAAAAUAUAAGUUCGCAAUUGUCCCCCAUAACGAGAGUUCUGCUUAGAAUUUAAAAAAAAAUUGACAUCCUGCUGUGGUGUGAGAAUUGCUCUGGGUGCCAAGGGGACUACGUAGCACCUGUACUAGUGUAUACAAAGCAAAAAAAAAGGUCACUCCAGAUUGGAACGGCAGUGGAAAGUCAAGCACAGAUGCUUUAUUUCAUGCACCAUUAAUGUGGCUUAUCAUCUGCUCCUGUUGUAUGGGAAUGCAUACGUUGGGAAGACAAUCCUUCGCACCAUUGUUACCUUAGCGGGACACCAGAGAAAGGUAGAAAUCGAGAAAAUCGAGUUUGUUUAUGUGUUCUGCUUCCUCUCUUGUCCUCAUCAUUCAUGCGCUAUCUUUGCCGUAACAAAAU